GACGAACGCUGGCGGCGUGCUUAACACAUGCAAGUCGAACGGAAAGGCCCCUUUGGGGGUACUCGAGUGGCGAACGGGUGAGUAACACGUGAGUAACCUGCCCUUGACUUCGGGAUAACUUCAGGAAACUGGGGCUAAUACCGGAUAGGAAUCCUUGCUGCAUGGUGGGGGUUGGAAAGCUUCGGCGGUUUUGGAUGGACUCGCGGCUUAUGAGCUUGUUGGUGGGGUAGUGGCUUACCAAGGCUUUGACGGGUAGCCGGCCUGAGAGGGCGACCGGCCACAUUGGGACUGAGAUACGGCCCAGACUCCUACGGGAGGCAGAAGUGGGGAAUAUUGCACAAUGGGCGGAAGCCUGAUGCAGAAACGCCGCGUGCGGGAUGACGGCCUUCGGGUUGUAAACCGCUUUCAGCAGGGGCGAAGCUUGUGGUGACGGUACCUGCAGAAGAAGCACCGGCUAACUACGUG
rnacentral:rRNA from 1 species